rnacentral:antisense_RNA from 1 species
CCGUUUCCAAUCCAGAGGAAGACCUUCUAGAAGAAGUGAUGGGUGGGAGAGUGCUGACAUACUAUGUGAAGCUACUAUUUGGAGUUGGACACGAGUGCAUGUGACCUUGUGCCACAGCGGGAAUGUGAGCUGGAUGACAAAUGGAGAUUUGGACUUGUGAUAAUUGGCCUCUGUGUCAUUGUGUGGAAGACUGACUGGUCCCUUUAUUUCCUGUAGCUUGACUACCACACAAAUUAAUCCACUCAAAUGUUGGCAAGUGGAGCAGAGUCCCAGGACAGGUACAGAAACACCCCCAGUUCAAGGAUCUUCACACCUGGAUUUAGGCCUACACCUGCAACUACCCCAGGCCAGUUAUCCAGGCAGUGACUUUCUGUACAGCUACAGUCACCUCUGGACAACUGCGGAGACUUUAAAAAUUUCCAGAAGGUCAGGAAUUUUUGGAGACCUUUCUUAUGGCUACGUUGCCUGCAAAGGUGAAUCAAUAAGCUUCUGAACUGACUUAGAAAAUGUUGCAGAGACCCUUGUGAACAGAUAGACCCUCUCCUGCCACUCCAGAUAGAUGUAUCUGGGUCACACACACCUGAUUUAACAACAUCUCAUUAUCUCAG